rnacentral:rRNA from 1 species
GGGUUGUGAGGUUAAGCGACUAAGCGUACACGGUGGAUGCCCUGGCAGUCAGAGGCGAUGAAGGACGUGCUAAUCUGCGAUAAGCGUCGGUAAGGUGAUAUGAACCGUUAUAACCGGCGAUUUCCGAAUGGGGAAACCCAGUGUGUUUCGACACACUAUCAUUAACUGAAUCCAUAGGUUAAUGAGGCGAACCGGGGGAACUGAAACAUCUAAGUACCCCGAGGAAAAGAAAUCAACCGAGAUUCCCCCAGUAGCGGCGAGCGAACGGGGAGCAGCCCAGAGCCUGAAUCAGUGUGUGUGUUAGUGGAAGCGUCUGGAAAGGCGCGCGAUACAGGGUGACAGCCCCGUACACAAAAAUGCACAUACUGUGAGCUCGAUGAGUAGGGCGGGACACGUGGUAUCCUGUCUGAAUAUGGGGGGACCAUCCUCCAAGGCUAAAUACUCCUGACUGACCGAUAGUGAACCAGUACCGUGAGGGAAAGGCGAAAAGAACCCCGGCGAGGGGAGUGAAAAAGAACCUGAAACCGUGUACGUACAAGCAGUGGGAGCCUCUUUAUGGGGUGACUGCGUACCUUUUGUAUAAUGGGUCAGCGACUUAUAUUCUGUAGCAAGGUUAACCGAAUAGGGGAGCCGAAGGGAAACCGAGUCUUAACUGGGCGUUAAGUUGCAGGGUAUAGACCCGAAACCCGGUGAUCUAGCCAUGGGCAGGUUGAAGGUUGGGUAACACUAACUGGAGGACCGAACCGACUAAUGUUGAAAAAUUAGCGGAUGACUUGUGGCUGGGGGUGAAAGGCCAAUCAAACCGGGAGAUAGCUGGUUCUCCCCGAAAGCUAUUUAGGUAGCGCCUCGUGAAUUCAUCUCCGGGGGUAGAGCACUGUUUCGGCAAGGGGGUCAUCCCGACUUACCAACCCGAUGCAAACUGCGAAUACCGGAGAAUGUUAUCACGGGAGACACACGGCGGGUGCUAACGUCCGUCGUGAAGAGGGAAACAACCCAGACCGCCAGCUAAGGUCCCAAAGUCAUGGUUAAGUGGGAAACGAUGUGGGAAGGCCCAGACAGCCAGGAUGUUGGCUUAGAAGCAGCCAUCAUUUAAAGAAAGCGUAAUAGCUCACUGGUCGAGUCGGCCUGCGCGGAAGAUGUAACGGGGCUAAACCAUGCACCGAAGCUGCGGCAGCGACACUAUGUGUUGUUGGGUAGGGGAGCGUUCUGUAAGCCUGUGAAGGUGUACUGUGAGGUAUGCUGGAGGUAUCAGAAGUGCGAAUGCUGACAUAAGUAACGAUAAAGCGGGUGAAAAGCCCGCUCGCCGGAAGACCAAGGGUUCCUGUCCAACGUUAAUCGGGGCAGGGUGAGUCGACCCCUAAGGCGAGGCCGAAAGGCGUAGUCGAUGGGAAACAGGUUAAUAUUCCUGUACUUGGUGUUACUGCGAAGGGGGGACGGAGAAGGCUAUGUUGGCCGGGCGACGGUUGUCCCGGUUUAAGCGUGUAGGCUGGUUUUCCAGGCAAAUCCGGAAAAUCAAGGCUGAGGCGUGAUGACGAGGCACUACGGUGCUGAAGCAACAAAUGCCCUGCUUCCAGGAAAAGCCUCUAAGCAUCAGGUAACAUCAAAUCGUACCCCAAACCGACACAGGUGGUCAGGUAGAGAAUACCAAGGCGCUUGAGAGAACUCGGGUGAAGGAACUAGGCAAAAUGGUGCCGUAACUUCGGGAGAAGGCACGCUGAUAUGUAGGUGAAGCGACUUGCUCGUGGAGCUGAAAUCAGUCGAAGAUACCAGCUGGCUGCAACUGUUUAUUAAAAACACAGCACUGUGCAAACACGAAAGUGGACGUAUACGGUGUGACGCCUGCCCGGUGCCGGAAGGUUAAUUGAUGGGGUUAGCGGUAACGCGAAGCUCUUGAUCGAAGCCCCGGUAAACGGCGGCCGUAACUAUAACGGUCCUAAGGUAGCGAAAUUCCUUGUCGGGUAAGUUCCGACCUGCACGAAUGGCGUAAUGAUGGCCAGGCUGUCUCCACCCGAGACUCAGUGAAAUUGAACUCGCUGUGAAGAUGCAGUGUACCCGCGGCAAGACGGAAAGACCCCGUGAACCUUUACUAUAGCUUGACACUGAACAUUGAGCCUUGAUGUGUAGGAUAGGUGGGAGGCUUUGAAGUGUGGACGCCAGUCUGCAUGGAGCCGGCCUUGAAAUACCACCCUUUAAUGUUUGAUGUUCUAACGUUGGCCCCUGACCGGGGUUGCGGACAGUGUCUGGUGGGUAGUUUGACUGGGGCGGUCUCCUCCUAAAGAGUAACGGAGGAGCACGAAGGUUGGCUAAUCCUGGUCGGACAUCAGGAGGUUAGUGCAAUGGCAUAAGCCAGCUUGACUGCGAGCGUGACGGCGCGAGCAGGUGCGAAAGCAGGUCAUAGUGAUCCGGUGGUUCUGAAUGGAAGGGCCAUCGCUCAACGGAUAAAAGGUACUCCGGGGAUAACAGGCUGAUACCGCCCAAGAGUUCAUAUCGACGGCGGUGUUUGGCACCUCGAUGUCGGCUCAUCACAUCCUGGGGCUGAAGUAGGUCCCAAGGGUAUGGCUGUUCGCCAUUUAAAGUGGUACGCGAGCUGGGUUUAGAACGUCGUGAGACAGUUCGGUCCCUAUCUGCCGUGGGCGCUGGAGAACUGAGGGGGGCUGCUCCUAGUACGAGAGGACCGGAGUGGACGCAUCACUGGUGUUCGGGUUGUCAUGCCAAUGGCACUGCCCGGUAGCUAAAUGCGGAAGAGAUAAGUGCUGAAAGCAUCUAAGCACGAAACUUGCCCCGAGAUGAGUUCUCCCUGACUCCUUGAGAGUCCUGAAGGAACGUUGAAGACGACGACGUUGAUAGGCCGGGUGUGUAAGCGCAGCGAUGCGUUGAGCUAACCGGUACUAAUGAACCGUGAGGCUUAACCUUACAACGCCGAAG